UACGUAGGUGGCAAGCGUUGUUCGGAAUUAUUGGGCGUAAAGAGCUUGUAGGCGGUCUGUCGCGUCUGCUGUGAAAAUCCGGGGCUCAACCCCGGACUUGCAGUGGGUACGGGCAGACUAGAGUGUGGUAGGGGAGACUGGAAUUCCUGGUGUAGCGGUGAAAUGCGCAGAUAUCAGGAGGAACACCGAUGGCGAAGGCAGGUCUCUGGGCCACUACUGACGCUGAGAAGCGAAAGCAUGGGGAGCGAACAGG
rnacentral:rRNA from 1 species